rnacentral:lncRNA from 1 species
AAGGGAUCCUAAGCAUUUUCAAAAUCAGGCUCAAUCCAUUUGGCCCUGAGCAAGUGCACAGACUUUUCAUUUUCUCACAGGCCCCCUCUCUGGGUUAUCAAUAAAAAGUAAUCCUAUGCUGCAAACUCUUUGCCCAUAAGAGAAACCAGGAAAAGCAAUUCCAAAGAGAUGUCCAAUAACAAAGUAUCCUCAUAGCAUUAAAGUCAUCAGUCUGGUAGCUGAGAUCUCUCUAAGUUUCCAGGUCUUUUACCUGAGGUGGUGUGGAGACAGGGGGAUGAUUGACCUCUAAGAAUCUCAGCCUUGCCUGGUGCAGUGGCUCAUGCCUGUAAUCCCAGCACUUUGGGAGGCUGAGGCGGGCAGAUCAUGAGGUCAGGAGUUCAAGACCAGCCUGGCCAACAUGGUGAAACCCUGUCUCUACUAAAAAUUAAAAAAAAAUUAGCUGGGUAUGGUGGUGCAUGCCUGUAAUCCCAGCAACUUGGGAGGCAGAGGCAGGAGAAUUGCUUGAACUGGGGCGGUGGAGGUUGCAGUGAGCUGAGAUUGUACUACUGCACUCUAGCCUGGGCGACAGAGUGAGACUUUGUCUUGGGGAAAAAAAAAAAAAAAAAAAAAAGAAAAGAAAAAAGAAUCUCAGCCUUUGCGCUGCAAAUUAAGUGUUGUUCAUACCAUUAUGCAUGUUAUGGUCCAGAAAGAGUCUUCUUUCAGGGGAGAGAGGCAAAGACGUUGAAGAAUAUGGUGAGAUGUCAGGUGACCCAGUUCUUCUACUGACAGAGGGGGACUGUCUCUCUGAGCCUGGAUUUUCUAAUCUCUAAAGUGUGCA